UACGGGGGGAGCUAGCGUUUUUCGGAAUUACUGGGCGUAAAGGGCGCGUAGGCGGCCAAUAAAGUUGAAAGUGAAAGCCCCGGGCUUAACCUGGGAACUGCUUUCAAAACUCAUUGGCUAGAGGACGAUAGAGGACAGUGGAAUUCCUAGUGUAGAGGUGAAAUUCUUAGAUAUUAGGAAGAACACCAGAGGCGAAGGCGGCUGUCUGGAUCGUUUCUGACGCUGAGGCGCGAAAGCGUGGGGAGCAAACAGG
rnacentral:rRNA from 1 species